UACAGAGGAUGCAAGCGUUAUCCGGAAUUAUUGGGCGUAAAGCGCGCGCAGGCGGCCUUUUAAGUCUGAUGUGAAAUCUUGCGGCUCAACCGCAAGCGGCCAUUGGAAACUGGGAGGCUUGAGUACAGAAGAGGAGAGUGGAAUUCCACGUGUAGCGGUGAAAUGCGUAGAUAUGUGGAGGAACACCAGUGGCGAAGGCGACUCUCUGGUCUGUAACUGACGCUGAGGCGCGAAAGCGUGGGGAGCAAACAGG
rnacentral:rRNA from 1 species